AACGCACUCUGCACUUGUCGGUAACCCCGACGAGUCUGCCUGUUUGAGUAUCGGUAUCAUAACUUCAAGCCUCCCCCUUCCCUCGCUUGCUUUUUGUGCGUGCGCAGGAGGGGGGUGGUCUUGGUUCUGGGCCUUUUUCCGGUGUGACCUUUCCGCUCGCGGCACGUGUCCUCCGGUGGCCUUAAAUGCAAGAGCGCGCAGCGUACCUUGCCUGGGUCGUUUGCCACCAGCGGUGUUUCGGUCGGGUCCCUAUAUCUCGGGUCUUGUCGUUCUUGCGCACCGAUGGGGUCAUGGUAAACUUCACUUUGGUAACAGGCCUGGUGCUAGCCGCGUGUGGUCCAUCGCAAGAUGACGCGCGCCUUGUGCAUGCGCACACAGAACUCGAUCUCAAAUCAGGUAGGGAUACCCGCUGAACUUAA
rnacentral:misc_RNA from 1 species